GUCGAACGCGAAAGCGGGGCAACCCGCAAGUAGAGUGGCGAACGGGUGAGUAAUACAUCGGAACGUGUCCAGUAGCGGGGGAUAACCUCUCGAAAGAGAGGCUAAUACCGCAUACGACCUACGGGUGAAAGAGGGGGAUCGCAAGACCUCUCACUAUUGGAGCGGCCGAUGUCGGAUUAGCUAGUUGGUGGGGUAAAAGCCUACCAAGGCUACGAUCCGUAGCUGGUCUGAGAGGACGGCCAGCCACACUGGAACUGAGACACGGUCCAGACUCCUACGGGAGGCAGCAGUGGGGAAUUUUGGACAAUGGGCGCAAGCCUGAUCCAGCCAUGCCGCGUGAGUGAAGAAGGCCUUCGGGUUGUAAAGCUCUUUCGGCGGGGACGAAACGGUCCGUAUUAACACUACGGAUCACUGACGGUACCCGCAGAAGAAGCACCGGCUAACUACGUGCCAGCAGCCGCGGUAAUACGUAGGGUGCAGGCGUUAAUCGGAAUUACUGGGCGUAAAGCGUGCGCAGGCGGUCUCUUAAGACAGGUGUGAAAUCCCCGGGCUUAACCUGGGAACUGCGCUUGUAACUGAGAGGCUUGAGUGCGGCAGAAGGGGGUGGAAUUCCACGUGUAGCAAUGAAAUGCGUAGAGAUGUGGAGGAACACCGAUGGCGAAGGCAGCCCCCUGGGUCGACACUGACGCUCAUGCACGAAAGCGUGGGGAGCAAACAGGAUUAGAUACCCUGGUAGUCCACGCCCUAAACUAUGUCAACUGGUUGUCGGGGAAGCAAUUCCUUGGUAACGAAGCUUACGCGUGAAGUGACCGCCCGGGGGAGUACGGCCGC
rnacentral:rRNA from 1 species